rnacentral:rRNA from 1 species
CGUUCUCGGGGAUUGUACACACCGCCCGUCACGUCACGAAAGUCGGCAACACCCGAAGUCAGUGGCCCAACCCUUUUUGGGAGGGAGCUGCCGAAGGUGGGGUCGGUAAUUGGGACG